GUGGCCUCAGCAUGGCCUCCCUCCCUGGGGAGGUGCUCAGGGCCAAGGGAGCUGGAGACAGGCCCUGUCCCACCCACCGCAUGCUGGCCUCUGUGAGGCUGCUCUGUGGCUCCUCCAGCCCCCUCGCUGGGGCAGGGCCAACUAGGAGGGAGGAUGGAAGAGCAGGAUGGGUGUCGGGUCCCCAGCCCCCAUACUCUGAGCAGCCCCACGCCUCCUCUGGUCCAGGAAGGUCUUCCUCCAGUACAGCUGCAGAAGGCCUGGGAGUAGAUUUGGCCCAAAAUAUGGGUUCUUGAAAAUGGAAGCCUAAGAAGUGGUCUGGUCUUGAGAUGGGCAUGUGGCUCCGCCUGGUGGGGUCUGAGAAUAUUGCACCCAAAUGGCCUCAGGCCUUGGGUAUUUAUUGACCCCCACCCUGCUAGGCACUGGUGACAGGAAAGCGGCCACAGCCUCUGCCUCCUUUGAGGCUCCCUCAGCCCAGGGUUUGGCUCCCCGGGAGAGCCUGUAUGCCAGGGCCCCAGGCCUCUUGCUCAGGAAUUCCCAUUGCACAUACUCCAUGUACUGGUGUUUUCCUGUGCCAGGUGCCAGGUGGUCUCUAGUAAGGCAGGAGAUGCUGUGAAGGGGGUGCCCUCACAGCCAUGGCACCACCAGGGGUGAAGGGCAUCAUGGUGACUAAAGGUCUAAUGGGAGGUGGGAAACAUCCAAUGACACAGAAUGUCCAGGAAAGGCAGGUUUGCACCAGAAUGCAGGGCCCUGGGCAUACAUGCACACUCACAGUGACACACUCACAGGUACACACACCUUACACACUCACAUAUACCCAGGCACACACUGUACACUUGCACUCGCCUAUUACAUGCAGUCUCACACAUACACAGACACGUACACAAGUGCUUGUAUACACAUUCAUAUAAUCACUGUCACACGUGGGUGUAUAUACUUUCACACAUGCACAUAUGCAUGCAUGUACACGCACACAUUUUUGUGCACAAACAUACGUGUGUGUGUAAACACAUGCACACACAUGCACACACCACUCCUCUUCUGGAGCUGAAGCUUCUCUCCUCGGUGCCCAUAAUUCUAAGUUGACCACAGAGAAGAUAGGUGCUGCCUAGCAACUCCUCCCAGGGCAGAGGAGCUGUCUGCUGGUCAGUGCUCUUGGUUGAGCAUGGCCUGUGCCAAGCACUGUCUUGGUGCUUUGCAUGCACAGACAUACUGAAUUCUGCACAGCAGCCAUUCAUAGUGUCCCCAUUUUAUACAUGUGAAAAACAAGGCUCAGAGAGAUGAAAUGACUUACCCACUCCACACUCUGAUAUGAACAGAGCUGAGCCACACCCAACAGCCUCCUGACCACUGAGGGACCUCUUCAUCACUGCUCCACACCUCGGCCAGAUACGGGGACUGCGCCAUAUAGGACAGUCAGUCUGUCUGCCUGUGAAACCCAAGAUGGGGGAUGGCGGGGGAGUGACGAUGUGCCAGCCCUCAGAGGCUCUCUCUUCUCCCUCUCCACCCAUCUGGGUUGCUCAGGCAAAUGGGCCAGUAGCUUUCACUGGGAGCCACCCCAGCGAUGGCGAGGAGAACCAGACAGGCACAAGGGCAGACUCCAGAACUCUCAGCACCAGUCAGGGGACUCCUGGGGACACCCUAAGGGAGAUGGCUUACAGGCAAGCAGUACCUCCCCUGGCCUCAGGCCAAUGAGAAGACAUCAAAUGGCAAACAGUCACAGAUCCUGAAGAGCAAUUAGACCUGAACCUGUCUUUCAUUCAUUCAUUCUUUCACUUGCUCAUUCCUUCAUUGACUCACUUAUUCAUUCAGUAGCUGUUAAGCAACUGCUCCCUGCCAGACACCACACUACUAACUGAGGGUAUAGCAGCUAUAGUUCCUGCUAAGUCCUCAUGACUGAGAUUAGAGCUACUAGGAAGGAGGAUGGCGAGAGAGAAUUCCUUGUCCCAGGGAGACGAUGCUGGUUGCAAUGCCAUCAUCAUCGCUGUGGGCCACAACAUUUCACAGCAUUUAGAUCACUAUCCAUCUGAAUAUCUAGAGUAAGUGAUUUUGGGAUGGUCUCAUGGCUGGUGCAGAUGCCUGGCCCCACCUCCAGCAGCCUGGAAACAGCCCUGCAGGGAGGAUGUCCUGUUUCUCACCCUCUGAGGAUGGCUCUUGGCCCAGCCCCACCUUGCUGAGGGGAGCAGGAGGCCACCUGCUUUGGAGGAUGCCAGUGGGCCUCCAGUCAAGACCCAGGCUCCGUGCAGUCUUAAUGACCCCAAGCAAGACCCAGGUCCCUUGGCCACGGCCUCUAUCCCCAUCCUGCACUGCCUCUUACAUUCCGUGAAGUAAUCCACACUCACAAAUGCACAGGAGCAUUCUGGGCCUUCCUGGAAAGUCCAUGGGAGAGUUGGAGGGGAAGAUUUACCUCUUACAGCUUGAAAAUCUUCAUUACAUGUGGCUCUUUUCUUUCAGUUACUCACCUUCAUGCUCUUACCUGGGUCUUCUCUAUUCCUGAUCUUCAUGGGCCCAAUCCUUAGCUCUUCCAGGUCCUCCCUCCACUCCCAGCUCUUCCCCCAGGCCAAAUCCUCCUACUCUAUAAUGGGAAGCAGAUUCUCCCUUCCUGGGAAGACUGUCAGCCUGCCUGGGCCCAAAGGCCAGCACCUGCCCUGAAAGAGCCUCUCCUCCUCUUUAUGGAAAGAUGCUGUAAGAACACAGCUUUCUCUGCAUGUUACGCUGCUUGAGCAGACAAGAGACUGUGGAGCCAGAGCCAGAGGUGCAGGGGAAGCCUGGGCCCCACUCAAAGAAAUGAGGGCGUAAGAGAGGAGAGGAGGAGGCUUGGUCAUGGUGGGGGAGACAGCAUUUUCACCCACAGCUCUGAAGCUUAGGGACCACAGUCUUCUAUCGAAGAUUGCCACCAGCCCCUGCCCCUCAGCCUUGAUAAUAAGCCUGCCCAGGCUAGGAAGAGAAAUAGAGCUAGAUACCAAGGUGAAAGGCAGGGAGACCCAGGGCCAGUUCCUCCAUACCACACACCCCUGGCGGGUUGAGGGCACACCUUCAUCACCAUGAAUGCCACUGUCAGCAGGCAGGCAGCAGUUUCUGUUGUCUGGCCAGGGGUGGGACCCUAUGUGCCUAUCUGGUGAGUUUGCCUUCCCUGAGUUUACACACGUAGAUGUCUCCUCCUUGGGUGGUAGCCAGAGUUCAGACUGCAGAUGGCCAGUGGAUCCCCAAAGUGUCUGGCCAUGAAGAGCUCCCACACUGGAGCUGGAGCCCGCUGAGGCCUGUGGAACCGCUGUACUGCCCCCAGUAGGAAUGGGCCUGUUCUUACUGGACUGUGGAACAAGGGUGCAGAGAACAAAGGGGACCCUCUUCUGCUCUGUAUCCUAUCUCUUCACCUGUGUCAGCCUUGGCAAGGUCACGGGGCCUGUGGGGCCAGGGAGGGGCAGUGAGACCCAGGGAGGUGUGUGUUAAUUACUUCUGAACUUCCAGGCUGCCUUAAAGACCCUCCUCUACCCUUGAGACCCAGAAUGAGGACAGGGUGGUGGUCCUGGGCCAGAGGGCCACGGGCAGGAGUGGGCCUGCUCCUCUCUGUGACUGCACCUAGUGUCCCUAGUCAGCAGUUUUCCCCACCUCAUGCCCAGGAGAGUAGGGGUGAGGAGGGAAGGGGAGCCUCCAGCACACUCUGCUUUCCCAGAGAGGUGGGGAGGCAUUCAAUGACCUGGUGAGGAGGGCUGUGGGCUUGUGUCAGGAUGAUCCAACCAACCUCAGGCCCCUUGGAAACGAACAGGAAAGGGAGCGUUUAAUCAGGAGCAGCAGUAAUGGAUAACAGGUGCCUUUUUCUGCCUGAUUUGGAAAGCAAGUGUUGGCACUAAGAUGAAAACAAGAAUAUCAGCCUACGAGUUAAAGUAUUUUAAAUUAGAUGUUUUUAAAAAGACUAACAAAAUGGAUUGCAGAGGCGAUCAUAUAUGUACAUGUGAAAAUAGAGUCUCACUCAUCCUAUUUCUGGGCUGUGGGUUUAUUUAGUGAGUUUAUUUUCCCUGUAUUCUCCAGAUUUUCCACAAUGGGUAAAUGUUUCUUUUCUACCCAGAAAAACAAUUAACAUUUAACUUUAUAAAAGAAGACGUAAUCAGUAAUGAUUACUAAUCAGUUUUUAACAACUGAAAUAUGAUAGUGCCACAAAGUUGAUUACGAAACACUUGGCCACCAUCUCCCCUGGUCGGAAUCACCAGUCUCCAUGGAAGGGCCUUCUCGUGUGAGGCACGGGCUGUAAUGCAGGUAGUGGGAAGAAUGGGGGAUGGGCGUCCUCGGAAGGCCCAGGAUGAGAGGAAGCCCCUCUAGUGAGAGAGGGAAGUGCGGCUGGGGCAGGGUUACGGGGGCAUAGUGCACAACCCUCUCUGAAGAGUCUGUUCCUCUUCCUGCUCUGAAGGAGGUGAGGGAAUAGGUCAGAGCUCAGAGUCUUAAAUAAGUCCUGCCAGGUCCACAAAGGAUGGGAAGCAGUUGUGCAGGAUGCAGUGGGAGCCCCCAACAGGUCAACCUACAUUGGGUCCUAGGCUCAGAGGUGGCUUCUGGAGAAGGGGAUGGUUAAGCAGUAGUCCAGGACAUUUAGUGAAGAGGACCCUCGGGGAGGGUCCUGAGGAGGCUGUGGGCUGUGAGUCAUGCACCAGGCUGGAACAGGUGGCCUAGGGUGUGGUAUCUGUAAGAGUCUCGUACAGGAGAGCUGGGCCCCAUGGCAGGUUCUGUUCUCUCGAGUUGUCAGUGUACCUCCACAGUGAAAGGCACAGCCAGCCAUGUUAGGGGACCUGAAGUUAGGACCACUGAUCCUCCCAGGCCCUUGGGUAGCUCUCAGUACCUCUGAGCCUCCAUUCCUCAGCCCUGUGAUGAGGCUAGGCAUGGUGAAGACCUAGCACAUCUGAGGAACUGAUUUAGGGACUUUUUUUUUUUUUUUUUGAGGCAGAGUCUCACUUUGUUUUCUAGGCUGGAGUGCGGUGGUGCUGUCAUAGUUCUCUGCAGCCUUGAUCUCCCAGGCUUAAGCAGUCCUGCUGUCUCCACCUUAGAAGUAGCUGGGUACAGGUGCAUGCCACCAUGCCUGACUAAAUUUUUUAUUUUCAUUUUUCAGUAGAGAUGGGGGCUCAUUGUGUUCCCCAGCUGGUCUCAAGCAAUCCUCCUACUCCUACUACCCAGCAUGCUAGGAGGACAGGCAGGAGCCAUGGUGCCCAGCCUGAACUGGGGACUUUUAUGAAUUUCCCUCGAUAGGUACUACUUACCAGCAAGAAGGCAACCCAGGAGUCUAAGGGUAGGUAGGGGGAAGAAAAAUGCCCUCAAAUGCAAUUCAGUCAUCAAGGGAGGGAUGGACUGGAAUGAUGGCAAAUUUCUGCCAGCACUUGCUGGCCUUCAGGAUGACACUGGACUGUGGGAGGGCUCCUCCAAGAGGUUGCUGCAGACAGUGGCCCCCAGAGUGCUAUAGGGUGGUGCUGUAGGGUGUUCAGGGAGUUGGGUGAUGCAGUUUCUGUCCAUGUGAGGUUUACCUGUUUGUUUUAGCUGGAAGGAUUAUCUGACAUCCUUAGGGAGGCACCAGGAAGUGGAGUCAUGGCAACAGAGCACUAAGCCUGCUGUCCCCAAAACUGAGUUUUAAAAGACACUUGUUUCCUUCCUUGAGAAGAUCAGAGAACCCUGGCAUAUGCCCAGGUUUACCAUGUCACAAGGUUGCCUCUCAAGCCCCAAACUCUGCAGUAUUUUGGGAGAGUCGGGCCAGGCGCUAGAGGCGAUCCUGCAGGUGAUGGGUCCCUUUGGCUGCCAUGCUUCAAGUGUGGGGAGAAGGUUGGAACAUCAAAUGGAUACAGGAAGUGAGUCUUCUAAGACAGGAGAGGGUAAAGGAGAAAGAGGGUGCCUCCAUGCAAAGAGGCUGAGCAGGAAGCUGCACGUUGCCCCAGAAAGGCUCACUGCCGGGGAGCGCAGGCAAAAAGAAAGCCAGAGGGCUGCCCACAGAGUAACCCUGAGUGUGAACUCCUGGAUGCUGCAGCAGGUCACAAAGCAAGUUUGCAGAGACCUGGCUAGAGCCACAGAGGAGACUGUCCAGUGCAGAGGAUGUAGCACAUAGAAGGCUCCAGUUGCAUCCUGGUGAAUGACACCCAGGCCCAACCUGCAAGGUUGCCCACAAUUCUGUGUGCACUGUUAACGUGGACUUGCCAUGGACUGUCUGGGCUCUACAGUGCUUUGAAACAUCUCAGCCCUAGGCUGAGGCAAGUGGGCGUGCCUGGAUUUUAGUCAUGCUCUUGACCCUGGAAAAAUGGUGAACACUCAAUUAAAAGUUGAAAGAA